UGGGGGAUAUUGCACAAUGGGCGAAAGCCUGAUGCAGCGACGCCGCGUGGGGGAUGAAGGCCUUCGGGUUGUAAACUUCUUUUGCUCUGAACAAGGCAUGCCAAUGGGUGUGUUGAGUGUAGGGGUUGAUUAGCGCCGGCUAACUACGUGCCAGCAGCCGCGGUAAUACGUAGGUCCCGAGCGUUGUCCGGAUUUAUUGGGCGUAAAGCGAGCGCAGGCGGUUAGAUAAGUCUGAAGUUAAAGGCAGUGGCUCAACCAUUGUAGGCGUUGGAAACUGUUUAACUUGAGUGCAGAAGGGGAGAGGAGAAUUCCAUGUGUAGCGGGGGAAUGCGUAGGUAGAUGGUGGAACACCGGUGGCGAAGGCGGCUCUCUGGUCUGUAACUGACGCUGAGGCUCGAAAGCGUGGGGAGCGAACAGG
rnacentral:rRNA from 1 species